rnacentral:tRNA from 1 species
CAUUAGGAAGCUAACUUACUGGACAUAAGCGCUGGCCUUUUAAGCCAGAAUUGGGUGCCUCCCGACCACCCCUAAUGA